rnacentral:rRNA from 1 species
AUUGAACGCUGGCGGCAUGCCUUACACAUGCAAGUCGAACGGCAGCGCGGGAGCAAUCCUGGCGGCGAGUGGCGAACGGGUGAGUAAUAUAUCGGAACGUGCCCAGUAGCGGGGGAUAACGCAGCGAAAGUUGUGCUAAUACCGCAUACGCACUACGGUGGAAAGAGGGGGAUCGCAAGACCUCUCACUAUUGGAGCGGCCGAUAUCAGAUUAGCUUGUUGGCGGGGUAAAAGCCCACCAAGGCGACGAUCUGUAGCUGGUUUGAGAGAACGACCAGCCACACUGGGACUGAGACACGGCCCAGACUCCUACGGGAGGCAGCAGUGGGGAAUUUUGGACAAUGGGCGCAAGCCUGAUCCAGCCAUGCCGCGUGCGGGAAGAAGGCCUUCGGGUUGUAAACCGCUUUUGUUCGGGAAGAAAUUGACUGGGCUAAUACCCCGGUUAGAUGACGGUACCGGAAGAAUAAGCACCGGCUAACUACGUGCCAGCAGCCGCGGUAAAAC